UACGUAGGGUGCAAGCGUUGUCCGGAAUUAUUGGGCGUAAAGAGCUCGUAGGCGGUUUGUCGCGUCUGGUGUGAAAAUCCAGGGCUUAACCCUGGACCUGCAUCGGGUACGGGCAGACUAGAGUGCGGUAGGGGAGAUCGGAAUUCCUGGUGUAGCGGUGAAAUGCGCAGAUAUCAGGAGGAACACCGGUGGCGAAGGCGGGUCUCUGGGCCGUAACUGACGCUGAGGAGCGAAAGCGUGGGGAGCGAACAGG
rnacentral:rRNA from 1 species